ensembl:lncRNA
CUCAGGUUAACCCGGAAAAGACCAUGAUUGGACAAGGAGUUCGUCCUAGGGGACACCGUCCCGACAUCCAUUGAGAAAUUGAUUUUACUGAAAUUAAACCAGGUAUAUAUGGAUACAAAUAUCUCCUAGUGUUUGUAGACACCUUCUCAGAAUGGGUCGAAGCCUUCCCCACACAAAAAUGGUCACCAAGAAGCUCCUCGAAGAAAUCUUUCCCAGUUUGUUUAUAUGGUGGAUUACAUUGAUGGAUUUUAUUAUAUUGAACCAUCGUGUGUCCCUGGAAUGAAGCCUAUGUGAUCAUGGUGAAUGAAGUUUCUGAACAGAACAGCAACAGCUCAGGCACUAAGAUCAACAGUGAAUUAAUGGGACCUCAUGAAAUUGAAAAGCUUUUGCAAGGAUAAGGAUACCAUCAAUAGGAGCCUACAGAAUGGGAAAAGAUCUUCAUCAGCCCUACAUCUCACAGAGGAUUGAUAUCCAGAAUGUAUAAAGAACUCAAGAAAGACACUGACAAACCAAAUAGCCCAACUAAAAAAAUUGGAUACAGAGCUAAAGAGAGAAUUCUCAACAGAGGACUCUCUAGAAACACUUAAAUGUUCAGCAUCCUUGGUCCUCAGGGAAAUGCAAAUCAAAAUGACUCUGAGAUUCCAUAUUUUGCCUGUCAGAAUGGCCAAGAUCAAAAAUUCAAGUGAUAGCACAUGCUGGUGAGGAUGUGGAGUAAAGGCAACACUCCUCCAUUGUUGGUGGGAAUGCAAACUCCCACAACCACUCUAGAAAACAAUGUGGUGGUUCCUUUAAAAAAAUUGGGAACAGUUCUACUCCAAGACCCAGCUAUACCACUCUUGGACAUAUAUACCCAAAAGACGCCCCACUAUACUACAAGGACACUUGCCCAACUGUGUUCACAGCAGCUUUAUUUGUAAUAGCCAGAAACUGGAAACAACCUAGAUGUCCCUGAACUGAACAAUGGAUAAAGAAAAUGUAUAUCUACCCAAUGGAAUGCUAUUCAGCAAUUAAAAACAAAGACAUCAUUAUAUUUGCAGGCAAAUGGAUGAAACUAGAAAAUAUCACUCUGAGUGAGGUAACCCUGACCCAGAAAGACAUGAAUGGUAUAUAUUCACUUGUAAGUGAACAUUAGCCACAAAGUAC